CCUACGGGUGGCAGCAGUGAGGAAUAUUGGUCAAUGGACGGAAGUCUGAACCAGCCAUGCCGCGUGCAGGACGACGGCCCUAUGAGUUGUCAACUGCUUUUGUCCAAGGGCAAACCUGCAUACGUGUGUUCAGCUGAAAGGCCUUUACGAAUAAGGAUCGGCUAACGCCGUGCCAGCAGCCGCGGGAAUACGGAGGAUCCAAGCGUUAUCCGGAUUUAUUGGGUUUAAUGGGGGCGUAGGUGGGAUGAUAAGUUAGAGGGUAAAUGUCCGAGCUUAACUCGGGAACUGCCUCUAAUACUGUUGAUCGAGAGAGUAGAUGCGGUAGGCGGAAUGUAUGGUGUAGCGGUGAAAUGCUUAGAGAUCAUACAGAACACCGAUUGCGAAGGCAGCUUACCAAUCUAUAUCUGACGUUGAGGCACGAAAGCGUGGGGAGCAAACAGGAUUAGAUACCCAAGUAGUC
rnacentral:rRNA from 1 species